UAAUACGUAGGGUGCGAGCGUUAAUCGGAAUUACUGGGCGUAAAGCGUGCGCAGGCGGUUCGCUGUGUCCUGUGUGAAAGCCCCGGGCUUAACCUGGGAAUGGCAUGGGAAACUGGCGAGCUUGAGUGCGGCAGAGGGGGGUGGAAUUCCGCGUGUAGCAGUGAAAUGCGUAGAGAUGCGGAGGAACACCGAUGGCGAAGGCAGCCCCCUGGGUCGACACUGACGCUCAGGCACGAAAGCGUGGGGAGCAAACAGGAUUAGAUACCCUGGUAGUCCACGCCCUAAACCAUGUCAACUGGGUGUUGGGGAAGCGAUUCCCUAGUACCGUAGCUAACGCGUGAAGUUGACCGCCUGGGGAGUACGGCCGCAAGGUUA
rnacentral:rRNA from 1 species